UGGACAGAUUAUUGUAUUCGACCAUAUUCACGGCGUGAAACGGGGGAUUACACUGUUUUUAAACGGAAAGUGAAUCAAUUAACAUAAUAGACUCCU
rnacentral:pre_miRNA from 1 species